CGAUUAACAACUCCAACCCACGGAUGUUGUAGACGAUAAGCUCUUCCCUCAAGAACAUCAAGUGCAUUUGUACCCUUGUCCAUUAGAUCUAGCUUUGUCAGGACCCCAAACGUUCUUUCACCUGACGGAUCGACUUCUCUAGCAAGUUUAAUAGCAUCCGAUGUAGCAAUGUCUUGAUUUGCAGGAGAUAUUGCAAGUAUGAUGCUGUUGGGCUUAUCAACAUAUGAGUGAACCAUGUUUUCAAUAUCUUCAACAAUGCUAUCAGGCUGCCCCUCUACAGCAACUUUUGUGAGACCCGGGAGAUCAAUCAAUGUUAGGUUCACAACAUUUGGCGAGUAAAUGCUGAGAUGAAUGGGAACAUUAGAAAUCAUCUUUGUUUUCCCAGUCAAUCUAUCGGUUUCAUCUUGAAUUUCCUUGCGGACAAGAGCGUAAUCAGUGAAUCUCCUCUUCUGCAUAUGAAGAAACUCCGCAUACUCCGGCUGCCCCUCAUCCGUCUUGUGCAGCUGCAGCACCAGCGGCCUCCUCGUCACAAUCCCAGAUCCACGAGGCAGGAAAUCACGCCCGACGAUGCUCUCGAGAACCGACGACUUCCCCGAGCUCUGGCCGCCGACGACGGCGACGGAGGGGAGGGCCUCCCAGAGCGUGGGGAGUGCGCCGUCGGCUCCGCCGUGGUCACCGAGCACGGUACAGGCGCGCUGGAUGCGGUUCACCAUGCCGAUGAGGCUCUCCAUGGCUGCCAUGGCGAAACCCUAACCCUAGAUCGGGGAAAUUGAGGGGGAGAGAG
rnacentral:misc_RNA from 1 species